rnacentral:rRNA from 1 species
UACAGAGGUCUCAAGCGUUGUUCGGAUUCAUUGGGCGUAAAGGGUGCGCAGGCGGCCAAGUGUGUGAGGCGUGAAAGCCCGGGGCUUAACCCCGGAAUUGCACCUCAAACUACAUGGCUAGAGCAUUGGAGAGGGUAGCGGAAUUCACGGUGUAGCAGUGAAAUGCGUAGAUAUCGUGAGGAACACCAGAGGCGAAGGCGGCUACCUGGACAAUUGCUGACGCUCAGGCACGAAAGCGUGGGGAGCAAAAGGG